UACGUAGGGGGCGAGCGUUGUCCGGAAUUACUGGGCGUAAAGGGCGUGUAGGCGGUUGGAUAAGUCUGGUGUGAAAUGCUGGAGCUCAACUUCAGCGCUGCGCUGGAUACUGUCUGACUGGAGUUCGGCAGGGGCAGUUGGAAUUCCCGGUGUAACGGUGAAAUGUGUAGAUAUCGGGAGGAACACCAGUGGCGAAGGCGGACUGCUGGGCCGUAACUGACGCUGAGACGCGAAAGCGUGGGGAUCAAACAGG
rnacentral:rRNA from 1 species